GAUUUUCAUAUACUUAAGCCAAUCGUAUUUUGAGUUUGCCCUGUUGGGCGUAUUCUUUGAUGGGACAGAGCCUUCUGACUGGCCCAGCCACCUACUUUAUGGACCAGUUAGUAUACGGUGGCCGACAAGCGAAACUAGCUAGCAUCACAAAACUGUAGCAGUUUCGUUGGUUCAAAUUUUUUUAGUGUUUAAGAUGUAAAUUCAGUGAAAGAAUGGAGUGUUCUUCAAAUGAUGAGCAGCUUUUGGUAAGUUCAAUGGAUGUUUAGCAUUUUAGUAACAUGAUAUUUCUAGCUGUUAGCCUACUGCUUGCUUUAGCUAGGUUGUUGCUGCUGGUGUUAAAUAUUUGAGCAGUGUCAGUGGCUGCUGUGCCUCUGUGUAUGCGUGGUGGCGUGUGUGUUA